rnacentral:tRNA from 1 species
GGCCGGUUAGCUCAGUUGGUCAGAGCGUGGUGCUAAUAACGCCAAGGUCGCGGGUUCGACCCCCGUACGGGCCA